rnacentral:rRNA from 1 species
AGGGGUUUGAUCAUGGGAGCUCAGGAUGAACGCUGGCGGCGUGCCUAAUGCAUGCAAGUCGAGCGACGCAUACCGGAGGGGUAACCCACUGGUAUGACGGAGCGGCGAACGGGUGAGUAACACGUGAGCAACCUGCCCCACAGACCGGGACAGCCCAGGGAAACUUGGAUUAAUACCGGAUGACCUCGGAGGAUCGCAUGAUCCAUUGAGGAAAUGCCUUUGUGCUGUGGGAUGGGCUCGCAACUUAUCAGCUAGUUGGUGGGGUAACGGCCUACCAAGGCGUCGACGAGUAGCUGGUCUGAGAGGACGAUCAGCCACACUGGGACUGAGACACGGCCCAGACUCCUACGGGAGGCAGCAGCAGGGAAUCUUGCGCAAUGGACGAAAGUCUGACGCAGCAACGCCGCGUGGGGGAUGAAGGCCUUCGGGUUGUAAACCCCUUUCAGGAGGGAAGAAAUUGACGGUACCUCCAAAAGAAGCACCGGCCAACUACGUGCCAGCAGCCGCGGUAAUACGUAGGGUGCGAGCGUUAUCCGGAAUCAUUGGGCGUAAAGAGCUCGUAGGCGGUUCAGCAAGUCGGCUGUGAAAUUUCGAGGCUCAACCUCGAAACUGCAGUCGAAACUGCUGUGACUCGAGUCCGGUAGAGGAGAAUGGAAUUCCCGGUGUAGCGGUGAAAUGCGCAGAUAUCGGGAGGAACACCAGUAGCGAAGGCGGUUCUCUGGGCCGGCACUGACGCUGAGGAGCGAAAGCGUGGGUAGCAAACAGGAUUA